rnacentral:rRNA from 1 species
CCAUCUGGAGAAUCUGGAGACAGGUGCUGCAUGGCUGUCGUCAGCUCGUGUCGUGAGAUGUUGGGUUAAGUCCCGCAACGAGCGCAACCCUUGCCUUUAGUUGCCAGCAGUUCGGCUGGGCACUCUAAAGGGACUGCCGGUGUUAAACCGGAGGAAGGUGGGGAUGACGUCAAGUCCUCAUGGCCUUUAUGACCGGGGCUACACACGUACUACAAUGGCCGAUACAAAGGGCAGCGACACUGCGAGGUGAAGCCAAUCCCGUAAAAUCGGUCUCAGUCCGGAUUGGAGUCUGCAACUCGACUCCAUGAAGUUGGAAUCGCUAGUAAUCGUGGAUCAGCAUGCCACGGUGAAUACGUUCCCGGGCCUU